AAAAAGUCCUUUCACCUGACCCCAAAACUGUCUUCUACUGAAGGACAAAAACGUUACUUUCAGAGAUGGAGCAUGUUGGUGAUCAGUCAGGAUUGUUCUGGAAGUCGUGAUGAAGUCCAUGAAGUGGCCAAAGUUGUGGGUGGCCAAAGAGGCGUAAAAGUAAGGAUCACUGAAGUCGAGGUCCAGAAACUGGGUGUGGGAUGGGUUGGUUGUCUUAUAGAUGCUGAAGUUCCCUAAGAUGAUGGUGAAUCUGGAAGAGGGGAAGCCACCAGGUGGCACCGUCUUCAGUGAAUGGAGAAGACCUUCAGGAGGUCAAGAGAUGCGAGCAGCAACAAGGAGUGUGGUUGAGGGACAUGAGCCCCAAGCAAGAACUUCUAUCACAAGAGGGAAGGAAUCGGGGUCUGGGGACAGUAAGAGGGAGCUAGAAGAAUGCCGCUAUCCCUCUGCUUUUCACCCUGGGACAUCUGGGAUGUGGGGAAAUGAGCAGCCCACGCUUGAGAACUUCACAGAGGAGGCAUCAGUUAAGACAAGGAGACCAGGGGAGGAGGGGUAUUUAGAAAAGGUUAAGGGCGCGGGAGAACGUUUAUCAUGUCCAGGGGGCAUAGGUUGGGAAGCGACGUUAAGUAUGAAGUUUAGUCUGUCCUGAAUGGUUGCUUCCUUCCAAGCAAAAUAAGCCACAAAUAGGUGAAGGGGGUGUCCUGACUUCACUGCGCGUUAAUAUUCAUUCUGAGCCCGUCGAACAAGCGCCCUGUGGCACCCAUUCUUGGCAGGCAUCUUGGCCAAGAGCAUAACAACCAGAGCCCAGACUUGAGACCCUGGCUUCCCUGACUAGAACAUUUCUUUCCUGGUGACCAAAUCACCGCGUCCCAUCUUCUGUAUUUCCUGCCAGGCUCAGAGCCCGCACCUUCCCCACCAUGGAGGAGUGGAUGUCCAUUUCUCAGGAGCAGUGGACUGCUUCCGGCAGAUAGUCAAAGCCCAAGGGGUCCUGGCACUCUGGAAUGGACUGACAGCCAACUUGCUGAAGAUAGUUCCAUAUUUUGGAGUUAUGUUUGGCACCUUUGAGUUCUGCAAGAGAAUCUGUCUUUACCAAAAUGGUUACAUUGUGUCUCCUCUGAGCUGUAAAUUGACCCCAGGGGUGGAUCAGAGUUUGAAGCCCCAGGAAUUGCGGGAACUUAAAAAGUUCUUCAAAACUGGACAGCUGAAGUCUAAAAAACCAACUCUUUAAAACUGAAUGAAACAAGAAGUGCACUGCCCGAAGGCAUGUUAUAAUCAUAAAAAAAAAAUGUCAUCUCAUAACUGUGUGUGCGCAGAGUGGCGAGAGGAUACUCCCAUCUGCUGCUCUUGGAAGUGAGAAGAUUCAGCCACAGAACCAGCUCCAAGCUCCAAACUGAUGUCCUGGUGAUCACCUGUGCCCUGGAAGAGCUUCCCAACACGACUGCUGCAUGGUGGCCUUCCACCAGAUUUUAUAACAAAAGCUAGCAUUAACGAAACGUGCGAUUACACUCCGUAAAUGUGCAACUUACACGACACCAAAGAAAGGGCAUCACCGUGACCUCAGAGUCUCCUGUCCUCGAAGCAGCUGAGCAAGUAGCACAUCAGGAGCUCAGCCACAGGGCUGCAGCUUGCACUAACCCACACUGGCCUCGCGUUGUCCAUUCGACCCGAGUCUUCCCAACACGCUUGUUUCUGAAACUCCUAA